CUGUUCGAGUUCUUGACUAUAGCUAUCAUCCCCGGCAUGAGAAGCGGUAGCUCUGGAGCUCUCGGCUUCUUCUCCGUACCAAUUGCUGACACAACAUCACCGCUUCCUCGCUUCGUUGGUGGUGGUGGAGGUGGUGGGUUUUGUUCGAUGAACGUUUUGAGUCCCUUUUCGCCACCGGGGAAUCCUCCGGUGAGGCCCAUCAUCUCUUUCUCAAAACCGUCUUCAGGAACUUGGAAGGACAAGCUGUUGUCAUCGCUCUCUUUCUUUGUCUGGUUCUCAGGCUUCGAUGACUCUUCCUCUAUGUUCCUCUGGAGCUCCUUCUCGAUACCUUUCUCUCCGUUGCAUAGUCCUCUUCCUCCCAGCACCUCCCAUAGAUUGAACUUACCCAUGGCCUUUACUCGAUGAACGUUUGAUAGGUGCUUUGCAGGCGGGAAAACCGAUCGGUUUGGAGUUGAAAAGAGAUGGGUCCGGCCGAGAAACUUGGUGCCCCGAAUGGUUGGUAUAGUGAUCGAAGAAGUCGCCAUUAUGAGAAUUAUUAGUUUAGAGGAAAGGAAAGAUAGGAGGAAGAAGAAGAAGAAGAAGAAGCGUGAUCUGCUUUGUCAUAAAGACCACAUAUCAUGAUUUCAGUUGGAUGAGUUUCUAUCUAUUUCCCAACCUGAUCCCGGUUACUGCCUAACCGGAAGGGUAGUAACAUUUGGGCUUUCACAUAAGUUAUAAAGUGGACCUUAUUCGAUUCUUUAUUUCAUUUAUUAUGGGCCUUGAAUUAAAACAUAUUGCUAUCUUUGUUUUGUUUUUCUAUAUAUUAUAAAAAAAGACAGCAAGAAAAAGAAUAUAAAAAGGGUUGAGUUAUUGCUAAUUUGCUACAGCAAUAUAUUUUCUACAACAAAAAAAAAAAAUAGAAGUUUUAAAAAAUAAAGCUGCAGAUAAAAAUUAAAGAUAAAAUCAUUUGGUCAACGACAUUAACAAUUGGCAUCCCAUUCUCUCAAAUAAUCAUCAUCAUAGAAUACUUUUGUAUUAAGAACAGAAACAACAGUUUCGUGUUUCCCCUAAUAUAUUUUCUUUUUUUGUUGGGUUUAACAUUCACCUUCACCUUCUCCUUGGAUCAGGUAUAGCUGUAAGUUAUCGAUUUUUGUUCGAGGUAACUUGUUAGCACAUAAAUAUUGCUAAACAAGUGGAAACUUUGAGUUCCAGCUGAUAUCAUUAGUAUUUUGUGGGUGCUUUUGUUUAGAGCAGGUCUCGCAGAAAACUGAACAGAGCAGCACUUAUGUUGAAUUUGUUCACUCUUCUUCGUCUGCCUUGGGUUUCACAUGGUCAAGAGAAUGUUCCCUCCCUUCUCGCACCUUUCUUCAUUCCUUGUUUUUGAUUCAUGAGAAUAGUUUCUCCUGAUCAUACUUAUUGGUAGGUAGAGCUAUGAGAAGCAGAGUUAGAAUUACUUUAAUCAGAACUUUCUGACUUAUAAGAAAGAGAGAAUCUUACCUCAAAGCACAGUAACUCAUUUGCUCCAAAACUGUUUCCCAUACUCUUAUAAAAAAAACUGUUACAUCUCAAUUUUUUUCUUUCUUAUCUACUCCUUGCAUAGGUUGGAACAUGUGGAUGAAGUCUUGCGCUCUGCUCGUUUAUCUGGCUAUUGUAUAUCUGAAGUGUGGGGUCUUACUCCACAACACUUCCCAUUGAUCCGUAAGGUUCGCGGUAGUGUAUAUUUUAUUUACAUAUUAUCUCCCCUUUGUUAACUUCAGCGUUGGGCAGCUCUCCCGAGUCCCGGGUGAACCACCUCCAUUAGACAAUGCAGAAGUAGAAGACUGGCUUCCUCGGUUUGUCGUCCUUCAAGCCGCUUGUCUUUUCUUCUAUUUAUUAUCAGCAGGUAAGUUAAGUUUCACUUCUUGUUAGUGUUUCUUGAAACUCUCCAAUAUUGUAGAUUUGAGCCCUCAAGAUUCAAUAUUGCUAGCGGAUAUUGUUGAAGUUGGUUCGUUACCAAGCUACACACAAGAGAGUUCGAUAGUUCGAUGAAAGCCAUCAUUGCUUUUAUAUCUUAACCCGUCAAGGUCUACGAUUCCAGUGCUCAAGCGCUUCUAAAUCACAGGUGAACCAAGAUAUGUACAUCUUUACAGUUUACACACAUGUUCUUUUUUGAGAGAUCAUGCAACAUUUGUUUUUUUUUGGUAUCAUAUUAUGUUGUUGCUUUGUAACUUUGGUGUGAAAAUAGCUGUGUCACGCCAUUCACGUGCUUAGUUUGAUGCUUUUCUUGUUAUCUCUCUCUUGAUUCCAUCUGAUUUAGCAGCUAAAGACUGGAAUAUAUUCGUUUCUUGGAUAGGGCAAUGAAUCUUGUUGGAAAAAAGAAGUGUAUACAAAUGGCAAUAAAUCCUGCUCCAAUUAAACCAUAAACCGGUUCGACCAGAUCCGAUUUGAUCGAAGUAUAUGCAUGCUUUGUAUAAAAACCUCCAACAGGGUUCACAUUCUCUGUUCCUAAAUACUAACACAUCACUCUUCUUGUCAGCCUUGUUGCCUCGUACACUCAAGAGAUGAGCUCCCAAAUCUGCAGAUCAGCUACUAGGGCAGCAAGGUCUCUUCUUUCUUCAUCUAAGAACACUCGUUUCUUCUCCGGUACGUUAACUUCUGCAUCUAUUUAUUAUUCUUAAAAUAUGGACAAAAACAUAUUAAUUAACAUUUUGAGGCUAAACACAUUAUUAUUGUUUUCAGAAGGCAGGGCCAUUGGUGCAGCAACAUUGGUCUAUGCGUCUGGAAAAGUCCCUCAGUAUGCGUCCAACUUUCGACAAUCGGGUUCCACCUUUGCCUCUAAGAGCUGGAUCACCGGUCUCCUCGCUCUUCCUACCGCAGGUUAAUUUUACAUACAUACACGUUGUCUCUGUACAUUCUAUAAGACAUACACUCAAAUUUUCACUUUGGUAACAUAGUUACUUAAAUAUAGCUAGGCGACACUAAAAAUGAACGACAUCUCCAACCCUAUUCCAUUUUUGACUUCAAACUCAAUUUUGGAGUAAAAUCUUCUCCAGGCCAAAAUGCAGUAAUGACUAGGGUUACUCCAUAUCCAUUUUAGAGUCCUUUAAUGUUUUUCUAUUUAUGAAAUAGUCCUUUUAAUCUUUAAUGUUUUUAUUUCAUACUUAAAAUAAUAUAAUACCUCGCAAAAGAUUAUUUAAUAGUUUACAUAAAAUAUGCAUAAACUCAUAAAAGUCAAAACUAAGAAUAAAUAAUAUAAAAUAAAUAUAAUAUAAAUAAAUAAUUUAAUAAUUAAUUCGGUAAAUUGUUUUCGAAACUACUGAAUCGGUGAAGUAUUAUUCAAACGGAAUAGAUGAGUUUUUAAUCUUAUGGGUCAAAAUAUUGAUUGAUAACAUUGUACUUGUUGAACUUGAUAUAUGCACAAACAAUGGGACUCAAUACAUAAUUCAAAUUACAAAACAAAACUUUGUUUUUUCUUUAUGUUAUUUUAAUGCAUAUAAAUAUUUUUGAAUUAGGAAAAUUGCAUAUGAUAAAAACUGCACAAAUUGAAAUUGGAAGAUAUCUAGUUGUAUUUUUAGUGAUAAAUAUUCAAUUUAAAUAAAAUAUAUUAUUAUGGAAAUUUUGUAAACAUAAAAUAGUUGUAUUAAUUGUUAAAUUUUUAUAAGUUGAAAGUACUACUAACAAUUAUUUACUAAAUAAAAUAAUAUUUUUUUUGGAGUAAAAAAUGGAGUAAAACUCAACCCGAUUUUGGAGUAACACCAAUAUAUUGGAGAUGCUCUAAAAACUUAUAUCUUAUAAACUGUUUAGAUUUGUUUGUUUCUAAUCAUGUUUUACGAAGAUUUUUAUAUGUACCCUUGCUUUCUUUGCAUGGUUUCUGUGUAUAGCCUUCAUGCUCCAAGAUCAGGAAGUCCAUGCUGCUGAGGUAAUAUAUCAACAUCUUUUUCUUAGGUUAACUAUCUUUUUUUUUUUUUUGUUUAAUUAGAUUUAUCAUUUAUCUGUGUUCAACCAGAUGGAACGCACUUUCAUCGCUAUCAAACCUGAUGGAGUGCAGCGAGGACUGGUAAAAUAUAGAUAGACCACCCUGAGUUCUUUGCUUUUGUAUUCCUUUUUGGGUCUUAAGUACGUCAAAAUGCUAAAAAGAAACAAUUCUUAGUAAAUCUUGCUGCUCACGUCACCAGAUAUCAGAAAUCAUUACCCGGUUUGAACGCAAAGGAUUCAAGCUUGUUGGUCUCAAAAUCAUGGUUCCUUCAAAGGGCUUCGCGCAGCAACAUUACCACGGUGCAAAGGAAAGACCUUUCUUCAACGGCUUGUGCGACUUCAUUAGCUCAGGCCCUGUUGUUGCCAUGGUAAUUUAAAAUAAGCAACUCACUCAAAACUUUGAAAACCAUAAACCGAUUUUCUUGGUUUCUCAUCCGAAAACAUUGAGCUUGGUUUUAAGGUCUGGGAAGGCGAAGGAGUGAUUAGAUAUGGACGUAAACUGAUUGGAGCCACUGAUCCUAAAAAAUCUGAACCUGGAACCAUCCGAGGUGAUCUUGCUGUUGUUGUUGCAAGGUACAUUGGCUACUUUCUUGCAUUGUAUUUUAGUAUAUAAAACAUGUUUGGUUCAUAUUUGUUCAUAGGUUAAUAGAUUUGGCUGUGUUUGUUAUAUUGGGACGAUUGCAGGAACAUAAUCCAUGGAAGUGACGGACCAGAGACAGCUAAAGACGAGAUUAGUCUGUGGUUUAAGCCUGAAGAACUCGUUUCUUACACCAACAAUGCUGAGAAGUGGAUCUACGGCCAGAACUAAAACUAGUCACCUCCCUCUCUCUUUUUGAGCCGUUAGAUAAAACAAAAAUGUCAUCAGAAAUAAAUAAUUUUACUGUCUGUUAAUCAUUUGUAAAACAGUAAAACCGACAAUCACCUGCGUUAAAUGGUGUUCGUUUAUGAACCAAUAAUAUAAUGCCACGUGGAGUUCGGAAACUCUUUGAUACGGACUUGAAAUCUGGUUAAUAUAAUUUUAUCGUGGAAUCCGCCGAGCUCAUAUAAAACAGGUAAAAAUAUAACAGAGCGGACGAGUUGACUCGGUAUCUGUUCAGGAAGAAGACUCUUAAGCUUCGUUUCGUCGUCUUCUCCGUAUCUCUGAUCGCUUUCGAUUUUACUUCAUAGACGGUAAAGCGUCUUCGUCUUCUUACUGUUUAUCCUCCGUUCUUCACGAGACUUCAGAAUUUCGAUUUUUGGUUGUUUGAUUCGUAGUCGUAGUCUUUGCGCAAUCGAAUUGUAAAUUAGGGUUUAUGUAGUCGAAUUGUGAUUAAUCACUCAGGCGCAGAUGGAGACUGAGACACAACUUGUGGCUGAUCCCAUUGCUCUCAACGAAAAGAAAGUUGCCAUGGCUUUAGGUUGGUUUAUGUUUUAUCUUUAUGCCAUUCUACUAGCUUUCUCUUUCGUCUGUUGCUCUCAUGAUAAUAUCUCUAUAUCUUCUUGGUUCAGAUGAUCUCAUCAAGUUGUCAAAGAGAAACACCAAAGGGAACAAGGGCAGAAGUUCAAGGAGACCCAAGGUAGAAACUUUCCUGUAGUUUCUUAAGCUUACAAAUGUCUCAUUGUCUUUCGUAUGGUCCAUUUAAUUGGACUUGAAAUGUAAUUUUUUUUUUUUUUUUGCGCAGAACAAAAACGGAAACUUUAAUGGUGCUGCGAGAAAUAGUAAUCCCUCUAAAGAGAAGCAUUACGUGAACUCACUUUCUGGAGUUAGACAGGUUAGCUUUGUAGUGUGCCCAGCUGAUCUGUUUUCUUGGCUUCUUUUGUCUUAUCUUUUGUAGAUUGGUGUUCCUUUGUUUUAAUCUCAUAAUUCUCAGGGUGCUGUUGAGAAGAGAAGGUCUAACUUCAAGGGAAAUCAGUUUCCUAUUGCAACAAACGUUGCUCGUAAAGCUGCUACUGUUGCUCCACUCCGUGUCCGUAGAAGAGCUUUCAAUGCUGGAAGGAUGACUAGUGCAAAUCAGUCAAGGUCUAGUCGCUGGAUCAUUCUCUGAGCUAUUUGUUAAUCUGGCGUGGUUAUAAAUAAUUUCUUCAAUUGUUUGUGCUUCACAGAAGCUUCUGUUCUAAGUCCCUUGCUGGUCUCUACUUGGUCAUGAUAUUGAUGAUUGCAUGAGUGUGGUUCAGAAUAAUAAUCCAUUUAUGUAGAUGAGUUUAUGAUGGUACUUGGGGGAGUCGGUGAACAUUUUUAUUUGGGUAGAGGAUUUUAGGUAAAGAAGAACAAACUGAAGAACCUUAAGUUUGGCUUCAUCUUUUCUAGAGAGCAGAGAGUAGCCACUGGCUUAGGGUGUUUUGUCUCCAGACUGGUUUAGCCUUUGAUAUUCCCUCAGUUGUUAGGAUGUGGCUAGGUUGGGUAUGAAUUUCGGUUGCUUGAAGUUGGUGUUUAUUGUCAGAUUAACAAGUUGGACAGUCUGCUACCCUACUUGACCUUUGAUAUGACCUCAGUGGCUUCAUGAAACUCUUUUUUCAUUCAUACCAGUCUCCUAGGUGUUAUGUCUCAUCGUCUUCCUGCAUCCUGAAGAAUAUAGAUUUAGCUCUCUGUGGUUGUGACAGUGAAUUGGUAGAUGUCAGUUUCGGUGAAAAUUCAGAAGAUUUAGACUUCCGAAUGUUCAUCAAUAUACAUCUCAGUGUUACAUGGCUGCGUCAUCUCUUGGGCUUUAUGAUUUGUCUUUGAUAAGUUGAUUUGUCGGGACAUAGGUCAUCUCUUGGUGGGUUGAUCUGGAAAUACCUCAAAGAGCUUGCACUUUUUCUGAGUAGUUUCUUCGAAAUGGGAGUUGUGUUGAUGUCUGGGGAGCCUCUAAGACUGGGAAGUGAAGUGUUGCAUUGCUUAGUAUAAAAUGGAUAUUUGCCAUGUGCUGCUUGGAUUUCGCCUUAGAUCCUUCUGUUGUAUCAGAUCAUUUUUAUCUGUUGGUGCCACUUGCCAGUUACCGGCUGUUUCUUCAAGCUGUCCUGUAAGGUUCUCUCUAUUGUCUUCUCGGUUCUCAGCAAUCAUUCUUCUUUUCUUUUUUUUUUUUAAAUGCAGGCUUCUUGCUCCACCAGUCCAGAGUAGAUCUAGAUUCAUCACAAAGGUAAAUCCUUCAUUGAUGUAUGUUAUUCAGACCUACUUAUUAGGUCUCUUCUUUGGAGUAGUUUUCCUUGUGGAUAUGUUUGUGGGGGCCCUGAGAUAUAUUCAGAGAAGUGCUUUCUGUGUCUAUGGUAAUAACUGCCUUCUAAUGGUAGAGAUAAACUAUAAAUGGUCUUUAGAUCGAUUAUGGGUUUGUGAAUUUUGAACUAUGCAAUGAAACGGUGGUGGGUAGGAUAUGUGUAAGUUUUGUUAGUAAUUUGAUCUGAUAAACGCAUAUCAUGGUUUGUUAUAAUGAGCGUGAUGACUAAAUCUUUCCCAACUUCUUUGAUAUUAAUGUCCAAGAACUUGAAAUAAUAAAUGUUUUGGAGAGCUAAUAAAAUUGAUCUUUGUCCGCAGAGGCAUGAGAUGGAUCAGAAAGUAGAAAAUGGAGGAGGGAAGUGGAAGACACUAGACUCUCGGUUUGCAAUCAUGAAAGAGCAGAGGAAGAAUAGUUCGUGCAACAAUGGCGUUGGACUGCAUGUUCCAAGGUUGCCACCAUGGGCUAGAGCCAGAAGAUUUUAGUUACUAAGCAAACCACAAAGCAUUUAUACGCGCUCCCUACACUCUUAGAUUUUGUCUUUGGGAUUUAUAUUCUUGUUAAGCACACCAGAUAAUGCAGUUCCUUUGUGACUUGCUUACAUAUCUUUUCAAAAUGCAUCCAAGAUAUAAAUAAAUAUCGUUUGAAAUCUUUGAAUGUUCGGUGUAUUUGAUUGAAGCUAGUCAACAUUGGGUUUCUGGUGCAAGGCACGGGUUGGAUCACAUGUAUGUUUCGUCCAUAGAACGCUUCUCUAAACUACUGGUUAGAAUUGCUGUUUGACAUUUUUUUUUUUUUUGUUUUGUAAGAUCUGUUUGACAUAUUUUGUUCAUCAAUUUGGGGGUGUAGCUCAUAUGGUAGAGCGCUCGCUUCGCAUGCGAGAGGCACGGGGUUCUAUUUCCCGCACCUCCAGGCCUUUGUAUUUUCCGCUCACUGUUUUGGACUUUUAGUUGUCCUCAGUUAAUUCAGGCGAAAGAAAUGGCUAACUUAUCUCUCUUCCUACUUUUCUUUAUUUCGAAGAUGUUAAACAAAAUAAUAAACUAACAUGUUAAGUAAAUUUUCGCCUACUACUAUUAUCUUCGUGCUAUGCACAGUUAAAUUCCUAUUUUCUAAAUUAUUUGUUCAUAAACUUAUAAUGAUUAUUAAAAUAAAUUAUUGUUUUAUUCACAUAUUUUCUAAAUAUGGACAACACAUUGAUAUACAUAAAUUUAGAAAUUCAUGCAAUAAGUUUUUGUGGUUUUGUUUUGAAAAAUGAAUACCUCUUACAUGUUGGAAAACUUGUUUUUGUUAAAAUUUUAAGAUAUAUAGUAUACCAAGCUACCAACAGACAAAAUAUGGUAUAACUAUUAUAUUUAAUAUAUUUGCUUGUAAUUUUGUAUAAAUAUAAGCCCCUUCAUGUAUACCAUAAUAAUUAUAAAAUAAUAGAACUAUUGACCAAAAAAAAACAAUAAAAUUAUGAUAAUUUCUGAAAAACUACAAUUCAAUUAAAAAUAAAUAUCAACAUAAAUAUAAAAAGGCAAAUAGCUAUAUUAAAAUUACCAUGAAAAAACUGAGUUAUAUUUUACAUAAGCUUUAAUUUUAGGGGAAUUAGAUUCCAUAUACAUAGGGGAAAAGAAAAUUAAUAUUAUAACUAGAACAACAACUUGGUUAUGAUAUUUUAAAUAUUUUAUGUAAUAAGACAUUUUUACUCUUAGACAUUCACCUCAGUUGAUCACAUGCAUGUAUUUUUGUUUUUUUUCUUUCCCCUUCUCAUUUUAUCUGAUAUGCAUCUUUCUAAUUAAAUAUAAGCCAUUCAAAUAAUUAUGCUAAUAAAAAUGUAUACAUUUUUCUGUAUGUGCUGUACUUUAAAUUUUUUUAAAUGGACAUAUAUUUCUCAUAAAAUUAUAGUCUAUCUGUUUCAUAGUUUGUUUUGUUGUGUGAUAUUCUAUAAAACACAUAGAAUAGAAACAUAAUUUUAUAAUAAAUGACAAUAUGUUAACAUUAUAAUAUGUGUAAUUUCUUGACAAUUUUAUUACUUUGAAAUUUCUUAUCUCAAACUUUACUAUAUACAAAGAACAACACAUCUCCGGUGAAAUACACAAAAAAAAUUUGUAACAAUUAUUGUACUUACUGAAUAUACUAUAAUAUUUUAUGAACAUAGUAUAGAACGUUAAAAUCUUCGUCUUCCUCCGCCCCAUUCUCCUUCUUUCUCAUUCCUCUCAUCUUCCUCUUUCAUCCUCCUCCUCCCCUCCCCUCCCUCCCUACUCCUCUUCUCUCCUCCUCCGACGAUCUCCUCCCACCUCGUCCUUCUCCUUCUUUUUCUUCUCCUCUAAAUAGUAUACAAUAUAUAGAUCGAUGUAUACUAUUUCUCUUUACAAAUAGUAUAGUUUUAUUUUUUGUUUUGAGUAUACACAAUAGACGCGCCGUUAAUGAGAAAGUGGUCCAACUUUGCUUACAAUUGUCACAUCAAAGAAGAAACACUGUAGAAUGGGUAUAUUCUUCAUUUGUGAACCCUUUAUGAAUAUCCAGCAAAUUGACCCUUAAUUUUAUCUCUUUGUUAUAUAAGAAAUGGCUACAAAGCUAAUUUUCAUUUUUUUUACCGAUUUUAAAUACUAUUAUUUCAAAUAUAAAUGUGUUUAUCUUAUUCCACAAAAAAAGUUCUUUCAUGUUGAGAAUAACUUCAAAAUCUGAUGGUAAUUUCGUGAAGAGAAGUUUGGUUUUCCAUCCAUCCUUUUGUUAAAAUUAAUCUGCAAAAUAUAGAAAUGUUCUAAGAGCAAUAGUAGAAUAACUCGUUACCACACUCAAUACAAAGUAAAACUAAAAACGAACGAAACAAUUGAGAGAAGAAAAAGACAAAGACAAAAUUUUAAAAUAUUAGAAAAAAUAUAGUUGAUUGAAUGUUAUAUAGGAGAUGGAGCAGUUGAUAUUGGGAAUUACUGAUCUUUAUAAUCGAACGUGUUCAUAUUACUUUUGAUAGUAUGAGAAAAUAUAGGAACUUGUUUUUUUCUUUUACAGUUUGAAAAAUAUUAGAAAUCAUUAGAACGUGUUUUAAUCUGGAUUUUCUUAAUUUUUAAUUCUUUAAUUUUUUUUAAAAAUAAUUACAUUUGUCAAAAUCUAAUUGCUCAAGUGACUUGUGCUUUAAUAUAUAAAGGAUUCCAAAAACUAAACCAGAAAAUAUAUUUACGUUUGCUAACUCUUUUCACUUCCCACUUUUCUUUAUAUCAAAGAUGUUAAGAAAACCAUAAAUAAUUAGAUAAAUAUUUAGAUAUUCCAAAAAUUUAACCAAAACAAAAAUUUAUUAAACAAAAUGUUAAUUAUACAUUAAAUAUUCGGUCCAGGGCCCUAAGUACCAUCGAGAAGCGGCUAAAGAUUUCGACCCAACACCAUCAUAUAUAUACUUAUCUUUUGAAUCUGUCUUUACGAUCAUUUAAUGGUCCAAAAACUCCAAACUGUUCUUUUGUUAUCAGUUUGACCUAAUCCACUUUAUUUUCAGAUUUGGCUCAAUAUUUGUAAGCGCCAUUACGCUAUCUUCCUUGUCGUUUGUAUAUCGAUCGUUUCAUACGGCGGCCCACAAAUUAUAUUACAUAUAUAUCGUUUUCAUAUUGUACACGUUGGUCAUUCGUAUUUGAUGUUUGGGACAGCUUCAAAACCACAUAAUACCAAAUAAACCUCCUGAACAUUGAAAAUGAAAUUAGUAUAGUUUAUCUUAUGAACCCACGUUAGUCAUUUUGACGCAUCUUCACAAUAUGGGUCGGCUACUGGGUCACCUUGUUCUUGACUUUUAUCCUUAUCUAGUUUUUGUUUUCCACAGUUGUUUAAUUUGGAACGUCGCUUGAUUCGACAAGCUGAGUUACAGAAGCGAGACACACAAAUUAAAACUUCUCUAUUGUUGGUAGCUUGAUUUAUUUAGUUUUCUUUAAAAAUCAAACCAAGACUUAUCCAUAAAAUGCUAAUUCAAAGUCAGUAACGAUAUCGAUCACGUCCACGUUAUAUCAUAAAAUUCUGACUCAGUUAGCCGAGAUACUAUAUUCUAGUUAAUUUACUUUCAUGGUAAAAAGUAAGUGUUUUCAACCUAAAUUACAUACUCAUCUAUAUAUACGUAUCUGUUGGUUUACUUGGAAUAUUCACGAGAAAUGUAUGAAAACCAUAACUGAAAAGGUGUUAAAGGAAAAUAUUAUACGUUUCGUGGAUGACUCUCAAGUCACGGAAAGUCCUUGGUGGAGUUGAUGUCAACGGUGCCACCCAUAUGUAUGAUAUGAUAACAAUAAAAUUUGCAUUUUCUUAUGAAUAAUCCGAUGUGCCUAACUUAUCGUAAAAAUGCAUCCACUAAUACAGUACUAUGUUUUUAAAAUGUAUUUUUUUUAAUCUUUAAAGAGGUAGUAUGUCAUAUGGUUUCAUUUUAGUAUGUUCUUUUCGAAAUUGAAACCGUAUUGUUUGUUUUGCAGCGUACAUAGUUAUGAAGAGAAUAAAAGUUGAUUCACAUAGCAUUAAAGUAGAGAUUUAAUUUAACUUUAAUUAUACAUAAAGUACAAACAAUCCCUGAAUGCUUAACAUAUAGAAUUCAAAUCUCGUGACCCCGACAUUUAUGGAAAAUAUGUUCGACUUUGGAGAAAUUUGAAAAUAACCAAUCAACAAAAUUGGAAAAUGAAUUCAAAACAUAAAAAUACAUACGGAUUUAGCUAUUUAUUUUUUGGGAAAAAGUAUAUUCUGAUGAUCUAAAGAAAUAUUUCCUGUGAAAGAAAAAUCUAGCCUCAGAUACAAUGAAAUCUAAGACAUCCUCCUUGUUACAUCCAAAUUGAUUAAUAUCCAUUAAUGUUACACCGAAUUAAAUAAACGACAAUCCUUUCGAAUAGUCAUUUUUAAGUUUUUGUCACAAAAAUAACUUUUAAGAUUUUUUUUUUUAAAAAUAGUUUUCAAAAAAGAAAAUAACCAAAAUAAUUAUUUUUUAUUUUGAAAAUUUUAAUAUUUAUUUUUAUUUUUUAAAAAUUUGAAACCACAUCUCCAAAACCCAACCACUUAACUCUAAAUCAUAAGUCUAAAUUAAUUAACCCUAUGGUAAAAAUGUAAUAAAACUGUAUUUUGCUUAUUUUCUUUGGCUAUCCUAUGGAAUAUUUUCUAUUAAAAAUAAAUUAGAUUUAUUACCAAAAUAAAAUAAAUACAUUUACACUAACAAAAACCGUCAAAGGGCAAUAAAGUCAAAUCAAACCAAUCGGGUAUAUUCGCACCCAUACCAAAUUCCGCCACGUGUCAUACUUUUGCUCUGCCUCGCUCGCCCUCUCUGUUUCUCUCUAGAAACGUAGAAUCUCUCGCAAGUAAAUAAAGUAAACAGUCAAAUAUAUCCAUCCAUCACACCGCUCCUAUAAAACACAAACCCAACCUCUGCUCGAUCCCCAUAAACACAACCGCUCUCACGAGUUUUUUAAUUAUUAUUACAUAACUCUUCUGAAUUUUAAUUUGAUUUUCUGUUAAAAACGAUGGUGAAGAACGUUCUGGUCACAGGCGGCGCUGGCUACAUCGGUAGCCACACGGUGCUUCAACUUCUCAACGGAGGCUACUCCAUCGUAGUCGUCGACAAUCACGACAAUUCAUCCGCUGUUUCUCUCCAACGCGCCAAAAAACUCGCCGGCGAUAACGGAAACCGCCUCUCCUUCCACCAGGUUCCGUUCUUUUUUUUCCUCUCUCUCGGCGAAUUAUGCUUUGUUGUUGGGAUUUAGGAAACGUGUUCGUGAAAGGAUUUUGUCUUAUAAAAGUUCGUAAUCAAAAUAUCUGUGAUACUGUUAAAACUGAAAUUACUGUAUGUAUCUAUGAACCGUUGAUAGAUUUCAUCAAACGACGGACGAUUAGAUUAUCGUGAGGAACAGGUCACCGAGUGUGGAUUCCAGGGUUCUGGUUAAUCUUUGUACACCAUGUGGCUAGUUUGUGUGUGUAUUCUUUAAUUUAAAAAGAAUACAGAAUAAAUAAAAGCAUCAACGCCAUGUGAAAGAGUGUAUUAUAAUAUUAUUAUCAUNNNNNNNNNNNNNNNNNNNNNNNNNNNNNNNNNNNNNNNNNNNNNNNNNNNNNNNNNNNNNNNNNNNNNNNNNNNNNNNNNNNNNNNNNNNNNNNNNNNNGAGUGGUAAAGUAGAUAGGCCGCUUGAGUUCUUCUAUGAAUGAUUGUAGCUUUGUGCAGGUCACUUUAUCAGAUCUGUCUACCGGAAGUAGUAACCUAUCCUUGGUACUGCUCUCUGCAUCUGCCAGCCUAGGCGGAGAGAGCGAGAUAGUGGAUAAAGAGCUGUGUUAAAACAUUAGAUUUGGGUUAUUUAUGUUGUUUAUGUUGUGUAACUUGCCUGCAAGACUGUUAGAGGAGCCGAGUAAUAGUGAAUAUACAAAUAUUUCAUCUUCUGAAUCAGAUGAAAUAUAAUAUAAAUUUGAGAACUUCUUACCUGGUCACAGUAAUCUGAGAAACCAAAAUAGAUUGCCUUCAACUGGCAGGUGUCUUCUUUAAAGGUACAAAGAGAAUUCUGUUCCAAACCGUUUUAAGUAAACUUCAAAAAGAUAGCGAUGAAAUAUCAAAUGUAUAAGUUGAAUUAAAGAGCUUUGUACCACCUCGGGUUUGAGAUCUCGGUGUACAACACCUUGGAGAUGACAAAAUGCAACCACAUUCAAUAUUUGUAUCAUAACAGUCUUUGCGUCCUCCUUCGUGUACUUCCCACCUCCGCACAUAAAACACAACCAAGUCCAUUAUAAAGUGAUCAAAACCAAAAAAUAAAAAAACAACAAUCAUACUACUGAAAUUGACGGUCCAUCUACCUGAGAGUAUUCAAUCCAAAAUCUCCCCUCCUUCACAUAACGUAAAACAACAAACCACUUGUUAAGAUUCUCCCAAGCUGUAUCUGGAAUAAUGUCUGAGCUAAAAGAGAGUUUACUCCAUCACUGUAUAGACAUUAUCAUGAUCCCAUAUGCAUCAAGGAAAUGAGGAAAGUUGUCAUGACCAGAGAAAGAUCCCAAUAUAUUCACUUCUCUCUCACAUCUUGAAUUGUCAUCUACACAACACAUUACAAACAAUAAAUCAAUUUGACACCAAACUGAAAUUGAAAAAACAUGACAUUACAUCUUUAAGAUCUCAUCACUACAAAGCACUUUUAUUUGCUUUGAAUAACUUUAAGAAGAAUGACGUUCAGAAAAGUAUGAGAAUAAACUGAGCAAGCAGCUAAGGAUAAGACCUUGAAAGUUUUCACUAUACCAGAAAGACACAUCAUUUGAAGUUUAUCCAUUUCCAAGGUAUCAGUCUCCGCGGAUGAUUCAUUCUUCCCUUCUUGGGUAUCCUUUGAGCUUUCCAGAGAUUCCAGCCUAACUCCUCCUUUAUGCCGGUGAUCUAAAUUAGGAAACAGAUCAAGAUACCUACCAAAAAUCUUCCCUUUCGGUUUCAUGGAGACCUUGGAACCCUCUUUUGGCAAGUUGAUCUCUCCAGAAACUCUUAGAACCGAAUCAACAGUUGCAUAAAACCUCACUGGUCUGAUCAACUCAAGCAGGUUUUGUGUAGUCUUUUCUUGAACAUUGUUAUUAUCUCUUUGAGCACACAUCCAAGGCAUUCUAUUAUAAACAGCCAUAGCUUUCGAGCUUGAACCCGCAACGUCUUUGGUAGUAUUAUCUCUUCAGCGAAACCUUGAACAUAGGAAACGACAAGAUCUCGACUCCUUCUCUCCAAGUUAUCUCUCUUUGACAUUAUCUUCAGCCGUAAUCAACUCGUCAGAGUCACCACCACUACUAUGAUAUGGAAUGGUUUCUUACGAAUUUGUCAAAUACAUCUCUACUGACAAGCUCAAGAACGAUAUAGAGCUUUGUUUUGCUCCCCAAAACAAACGGAGGUUGCGGAAGAUCAAUUCCUCGAAGAUAUAACAAACAGAGAAGUCUCAGAUGAAAUGGAGGCAGAAGAACAUAAUCAAAUGAGGACAGAGGAGAAUGAAAUGGAGGAAGAAGCAGAGGACUUGGAGGAGAAUGAAAUGGAGGAAGAAGCAAAUGAUGAUGUGCAGACUCAGACUGACACAGCUACUACAUCACAGCGUAAAAGACGCCGAGGACCUACAAAGAUGAAACACAUUGCCAAGGAUCCAACUGAAAGGCAACAUGUCGACUUCACAAAUAUGGGGGAUCCCUGUGGUCCAGGUUCUGUACUGUUAUCCUCCUACUUGGGUCCCUUAGUUCGUGAACAUGUUCCGGUGAUCAUUGAUAACUGGAGACAAGUCAGUGAAGAAAUCAAGACUGUGCUCUGGAAAUCUAUUGAGGUAAUAAGAAAAAAAUUUACAUUUAACUACGAUCCAUUUUACUUGUAUUUGAAUGUGUCUCAUUGCUGACUACAGAUGAGGUUUGACAUGGACGAAGACUUUAAAAAGGCUGCUGUGUUUAAGCAGAUGGGAUGUUUGUGGAGAGCAUCCAAAUCACGUCUGGUAACAUCUGUUAGAAAAGCUCCAACCAUUAAAGGUAGGAUGAGCUUGCAACCGAACAAUGUUUCUACAGCUGAAUGGCGUAAAUUUGUCAAAGAGAAGACCAGUCAGGCCUUUAAGGUUGUCAGCGACUCUUACAAAGAAAGAAGACAGAAUCAGAUUCCUCACACCUGCGGCCGUAAGGGAAUGGUGAGGCUGAGAGAAGAUUUGGUAAAGUCAAGUGAAGAUCCAUCAAAAGUGUCGAGGCUCCGAGUUUGGGUGAAAUCACGAACAAAGAAGGAUGGUACUCCUGUCAAUGUUAAUGCAGCUGAAAAGAUUGUAAGUUUUCAUAUUGAUUUUAAGAAGUUGGAUCUGCUGGUUGCUGCUUUGUGAUUAUUGAAAUUUUAAUGUGUUUCCAGAGAAAGGCAUCAGAGAUCGAACUUGAGGGUCAUUUCAAUUAAUUAACAAUACAUGAAUAAAAUAUAAUAAUCUUUUAUAAUUUUUUAAAAAAAUUUAUUCAAUACAUUAAGAAUAGAUAACAUAAAAAUGACAUAAAAAUUUUAUUCAAUACAUUGAGAAUUCAAUAACAUACAAAGAUUAUUCAUACAAUAAUUGGCAUUAUUAAAAAUUAAAAAAAAUAUAAAAUAUAAAAAUACAAAUUUAUAUUAAAUUUUUUAUAUAUUGAAAUUGGUUACAUAGUUAUGACAGGUAUAUCAAACUUAACUAAUUUUUUUAAAAACAAUUAAACCUACACCUAAAAUUCUAAACCCAAAGUUCUAUCUCCAACGUCACCGUCUUCUAGUCACAUACCGGAGCUUGGACCUUCUCCACUCUAAACACCUAAUGUCCUCGCCACUAAUGACUCACCCCUUUUGCCACCUUCUCCUCCAUCAAGCUUCUCUGCCUUGUCUACCUUCCUGUAACACAAUACACAAACUACAGAAUAUAUAUUAUAUAGAACGCAAAGAGUCAGAGGCAGAUGUGCAUGGUAAAUCGGACGACUUGUCUCAGGCAUUAAACAUCAUCUCCAACAAUGGAAGACAAAAAAGACAGCAUAUUACCUUGUGUAGUUGCAUGAUUCUAUCUCUCCCAACCGUAAGUGCACGCCUUGACACUUCGAUCAAAUGAACCAGAGUAGAGCUCUGCAGUUCUGUGUCUGAAACAUAGGGAAAAAACAGUGUUCCUGUGACCUGUAAAGGUCUGUAGACACAUAAUCAUAAAAGCUGAAACAGAUUGGACCUUAUGAACAUGGCGAUCAACUCCUCUAGUCGUCAAGUAACGACCAUCAGAGUUAACAGCUAAAGCAUCUACAAUUACAACAAACAGCAAUCAUGAAUACAAAAUGAAACCUUAAGAGCGUUCGAGAAUUUGGAAGUACCACUCUGAGCAAUGGUUCCAAGACAGACAGUCUAUAAGUUCUUCCUUUGUCACCACCAUCUCCAAACAAAGCAGGCUCUGUCACACUCAAGAACCUCAGCUUAUCAAAGCAUCACUUGCAUUACUGUAAACAUAUACAAAAUACACAUUCAAUCAAUUCUUGUGACUAUAUAAGCUAUGAACUAUCAAAUCCAACAAUCUGCUCACCUGCCAGUGAUAAAGUCUCAAACUUUCACAUUCAAAUCAAGUUCCCAUGACUAAAAAUCAAAACUUUAGUAGAAACGAACCUCAGCUUGGCACUCGAACUUCUCACCGGACCCUUCACCGCGAACCAAUUACAUAUCUUCUCGAGGUCCCAACUACAUGAAGCGCCGGUUCUCAGACCACCACCACUGCGAGGAAGAAACACACAAGUAGAUAUAUUGAUUUCAAUAAACAUACACAAGAAAUAAGGUCCAAUUUGUCAGACCACCACCAUUCUCCUCUGAUUGUUACAAAAGAGAAAUAAAAAACAGAGAAGAAUUGAGAUGAAAGGAGAAAGAAUUGAAUCUGAUGAAAUGAGGAGAGAGGAGAGAAGGGGACGAACAAUGGAAAGAGAUGGAGAGAGAGUGGAGGAAGCUAAAGCUAGACUUAUUACCGAACUCCAGCUUCUGUAAGAGACGAGGAGAGGAUGUGGAGAAGGAAAGAGAAGACAGUGACUGAUUGACACGUGGUCUGAACCGCUUCAUACGAGUUCACUACUAAGGAUCGGUUCAAUGAAUUAAAGUCAUUUUUCAAUUUUUUAAAUCAAUUCGGGCCUAGGAACUUGAGCCCAUGAACCCCAUUACAUCCUCUAUUGUGCCUGCUCUUAUGGGUCCAAUGGCAGAAGCACCAUCACCUCCAAAAUAAAAGCUUUUGGUCUCUUUGAGAUUAAAACCACUAACUCUGCUUCUUGGAACUCUAUUCUAUCUCUCAGACCGCUAGCACAGAGCUUCAUCUUCUGUAAUGUCAACAAUGGAGAAAACAGCUGGUUCUGGUACGAUAGAUGGACACCUUUUGAUCAACUCAUCAAUUUUCUUGGACCGAAUGGACCGAGGGACCUGAGAAUACCGACCUCAGCUCAUGUCAAAGAUGCAUGCUCAGCUUCUGGUUGGCUUUUAUCCCAACCCCGUUCAGAUAACGCCUUAAAGUUGCACAUUCAUCUGACUACCAUCACCAACCCGAGACAUCUCAACGAGCAGGAUUCAUAUCAUUGGUGCGUUGAUGGUAGAGACAUCAUGGGAUUCUCUUCUUCAAAGACUUGGGAGGCAUUAAGGCCGCGAGCUACUCCAAAGGACUGGUUUAAGGAAAUCUGGUUCUCCGGCGCUAUCCCGCGACAAGCUUUCAUGAUGUGGCUUGCAAACUACAACAGGUUACCGACAAAGGUGAGGAUGUCUUCCUGGGGUCUCAAUGUACAAACAGCUUGUUGCUUCUGCAACAACAAUGAGGAGUCUCGAGACCACCUCUUCCUCUCCUGUCCAUAUACGAUUUCACUUUGGAGGCUGAUCUUCGCGCGUCUUGACCGAAACCGAGCUCCCUUUAUCUCAUGGACUGAGCUCCUGUCGUGGGUCAGAGUUUCAACUUCUGCAGCGCCUAACAUCCUCAAGAAACUGGUCACUCAAUCACUCAUCUACAACACUUGGAGACAGCGCAACUCAGCCAACCACCACAACGGAUUCGCCCCUCCGCAGACGACGUUCAGCACCAUCGACAGGGACAUCCGCAAUGUUAUCAGUGCGAGAAGACAUAGGAAAAAGUUCAGUUCUCUUAUCCAGCUUUGGAUCCAAUGAGUCUACUCAUUCGAUUCAACUGUGUUAACCUUGUUUUUUAUCUUCUUUUUGCCAAGGUUUUCACUAACUAGGAUUAUGAAAAAUAAACCUAUAACUUUCAUUUUAAUGAUAUUUACAGUUUAGCAAAAAAAACAUCACACCGUGUUGAAAAAUUAUUGUCAUAUCGUUAGUGUUUAGUGUUUACGGACUGUAUUAUAAUAUUCAAUGGCACAAAAGAAUUGCUAUUAAAUGUUCAAAAAUCCAAAAAAAAACUGAGUUACAAAAAGGUAUUCCAUGACAAAAAACAAAUGUCAUAACAAAAUAUUUUAUGGCACACGAAAAGUGCCACAUAAAAUAUUUAAAUAGCGAAAAUAAAUCGCUAUAAAUAGGUAUAAUAUAACACAGGACCAACGCUAAAAUAUCUGUAUAUUGUUACAGCACGCGAAAAACGCUACGCUAGGGGGGAGGUCUAUUAUAGCUGCGGCUGUCACGGCGUUCUUCGAAACGCUAUGAAAACGAUAUGAUAGCGUUUGUCGAGUGCUAUUAAUACCGAUAUUUCUUGUAGUGUGUGCUCAUAAUUGGCUCGACAGCUUUGAACAAUAUGACAAUGGUAAGUUAGUUUAGUAAUUAUAUUGUACAGAAACAGAGACUUCAUUCAUGAAAUAUUUUGCUGGUUUUGGACAAAAUCAGAGGUUGCUGAAUCUAGUAAUUAAGAGGAGAUUUUCCCUAUGUUUGUGACGUUUCAAUAGACGUGUAAGUGAUAGAUUAUUAUUUAUUUUCCUUCAUUUCAUUUAUUUUCUGAUCGUAUACUUAUCUAUUUUACCAUUUAGACAACUGAUCAACUUGAGGUCGUGGGAAGAACAAGAAGGAAGAUCUCUAUGUAAUUUGUUUUUAAGUUUGAUUUCAGUGUUGGAGGAGAACUUAUGUUUUUGUGUUGUUUGUUGUUCUUUAGAUCUUAAACUUAUGGUGUGGUGUUUGUUGAAACUUAAACUUAAGAUUUCUGUACCUUUUAUGUGUUUGUCAUUUUUUGCGAUUUGGCCAAUAAAGUUGUUCUUUUUUAAUUCAGGUGGGUUACCCGCUUGAUCCGGUUGAUUAGCGUGGGGCGGGUGCGGACAUCUUGUAUAACUCGUAGCGGGUCAGGCAGAGGCAACCCUAGCGCCGCACCAUUUAAGCUCGGUUGAAGGCUCCACUAUGUUGAAGGAGAAAUUCGACCAGCGAGUAGACGAUCACUACAUUCAAUUUCAAUAAGAAAAGAUGAUAUGGUUUUGAAAAAAUGUAACAUGGCAUUAACAUAAUUGUGACAUGCACAAUUUCAUUUAUAAAUUUUAUAUAUUUUUGGUAAUGUUUUUGAAAUACGGUAAUGACUAUUAACUCGUAUAUCAUGAUUAAUGUAUAUUUUCUAUAUAAAUAUUUAUUUAUGUCAAGAUUAUUAAAAAAUAUUAAUAGGAAAUAAUCAUAUAUCACAAUUAAAUUAGUAUAUAUAUAUAUAUAUAUCAAAUUAAUAAAAAUAAGUUAAAUAUAAUUACAAAUAUAAUUUUUAAUAGAUUAUGCUAAAAACAAUAAAAAUCAGAAAGUUAUUAGAAUUUAUAUAUAUAUAUGUAUAUAUAUAUAUAUGUAUGUGUGUGUAGGCGUGCGUGUGCGCGCGUGUGCGCGCGUGUGCGCGCGCGGAUGUGUGUAUUUAAAAGUAGGUAAUAAGAGAUAUAUUUAAAAAAUAGUCACUAAAUAUAAUAUAACUAAAUCCAAACUUUCUCUUCGAGUGUGUGCGCGCGGAUGUGUGUAUUAAAGUUUAAAUGAAAUUAAAUUAAAAUAGUUAAACCAAAUCAAAAGAGAUCAUAUUACAAAAAAGUAUUUUAAUGAUUUGUUUUUUUUCAAAACGUUGAAGUUAAAAUAAUAAAAUAAAGAUGUCAAAAUGUAAACUAAAAAAUUUCUUUUAAAAUAAAAAAAAGUCGUAUUUAAAAUUAUUGUUUAUGCGCGUGUCGGAGAAAAACACGUAGUUCUAUUAUACAUAAGUGGUAAAUUUUAAAGGUAUUUUUUAUUUGUACUUUUAUUUUAUUAAGAUAUAUAUACUUUUGUUUAUUUGUGAGGAUCAUUUCAAUUUGUACGCUUUAUAUAGUUUACAAAAAAAAAAAAAAAACUUGACGCUUUAUAUAACAUCAAAGCCAAACAAGUGAUUGCGCUAUAAAGGAUGUACACUGUGUGCAUGCACACAGAAAUAGACGCGGAUUUACCGUGUCAUGUACGGGGCAUGUGCCCCUACUAUUUUGUAAAUAUUACUUAGUUAUGGUUCGAAGUUCCCGCUUUGUGUUUUUUCUUUUUUCUUUUGUUGUAUAAUUAAUGUGUUUUCUGUUUGUCAACAUAUCAUCUAUGUUUUAUUGUUUAGCUAUUAUAGGAGCACUAGAGUUUUGACCCACGCGGGUUUAUUUUCUAUAUUUUAGUUUUUUGUUAAGCGUAUUUUCUCAAAUGUAAUAAAUGUAAUUUUAUUGUCUAAUUGAAACAUCUUUAUUGAAGUAUAUUGAACAAUAUAAGAUGUUUUGUGUUUCAUUUCAUUUAUAAUUUGAUCAUAUGUUUUUUGAUCUUCUAAUGCUUUGUUAUCUUGGUUAUUUUUUAAAAAAAUAUUGUUAGUAUUUAUGUGUCUCCUUUAAUGACAUUUAAACUAAAUAUUGUUUUUCGUGUUGGUAUUAACUAAAAUUUUUUGCUUCAAAAUUUUUGAAGAUGAUUUAUAAAUUUAAAUAAAUUUGAUUUAAUAUUUUAAGAAUUUAUAGAUUUAGAAGAGAAAAUUAUAAUGUUUUUAAUUAAACUGAAAGUUGAAUAGAGUUAACUUACAUCUUCGCUGGAAAUUUUUAUUUAUUUAGAAUUAUGUUUUUGAGAAGUAGUAUAAUACAUACAUGCAAAGAGUAAUAAGUUUGUAGGUAUAAUUAGGAGCCUUUUCCAUUUUGUUACCACUUUUUUUUUCCUCUUCAAUAAGAGUUUAGGGGGUUUGCAAAGUUUUUUUUUUUUGAAACAUAAACAGUGUGUAAAUUUUCGUAACACUAAUCAAUGCUUAUAUUUGUUUUAUUUGUUUGGUUAGUAGCAAUCCUCAAUUCACAUUGUUGCAGUUCAAGCAUGAUUAAAAGUGCAAAUGGUUAUUUCUGAACUUAUCAAUAGAAGAGUGGUUUAAAAAUAUAUAAAUUUCGUCUAUUUUUAUAAAUAUGUACAUUUCUUCUAUUUUAUACGUAAUAUUAUUAAAGAAAAAGAUAAACUUUUAUAUUCUAAUAUCUGUAGUAUGCUAUUCGGUUAAAAAUUUGGAAUUUUUAAGUUUGAUAAUACUUUUACUUCAUAUAUUAAUAAAAAAAUAAAAAUAGCUUUAUCUAUGAAGUUUUCUGAACCCAUUACAGUAGAAACUCUAUGAGUUAAUAUUCGAUAAAUUAAUAAACGCAAAAAAAUUAAUAAACUCCACCAAUUCUGAAUUGAGUCAAUAUAAAAUAUGACACAUUUCGAUAAAUUAAUAAAAUAAUAAAUUCUUGAAAUUUUUAUGUAAAUAUAUAUUCCCAAUAAAAACAUAAAUUAAUAACCGGUGCAUAUAAAUUUAUAUAAAUAUAAUAAUAUAUUGUAUAGUUUGCCUGUAUUUUAUUCAUAGUGAAGUUUAUCUUUAAACUUUAUAAGUAUUUAAAAAUAUUUAAAUGUUAUUUUGUCAUUUUAUACUUAAAAUGCAUAUACAUUUAUGGUAAAUAUUUUCUAUACACCUUAUAGUUGAACAAUAGUAACAUAAAAAGUUUUAUCUAUAACAAUUAAUCAACCAUUCAUAUAUCUUAAAAUCAAAUACCUUUUUAAACAGAAAAUAUAUUCUUCUAAAUUUUUUUUUUUUGUAAAUUAAUAACUCGAAGAGAAAGAUCUAAACAUCGAGAUCAAUAUUGUUGUAAUGUGAUCCAAGUUAAUGAUCCGCUCUGCUUUUUUUAUUCAUCUCAUCGUCGGCAAUAAAAUAAACGACACAAAUAGAGUGUAAUGUAAAUAGGUGCAGAUCACAAUAUAAGACGUAAUAGUCUUUUAUGUAUUAAAAAUUUUAAAACCUAACUUUAUAAUUACGAAAACACAACACAUGCUUGGGAGGAAAUACACUAACUUCACAAGUUAUUAUUCAUUAUAUAUAAAAAAAAUGCAAGAACAGAGAGUUCAAAAAUAGUUUGGAUAAAGUUGUGCUAGACUCCCUCGUCAUUCUCGUCAUCGAUGUAGCAGCUAUUGUUGCAGCUCCAGUCACACUUCAAGGUAAUGGGGAACGCGUGUUGUGUUGCUCCUCGUGACAAAAUGGUCCUCCUGCCUAACUCAUCAUCAGCUGCUGAGAGGAGGCAUUCUCCUACUUGAAGUUUCCGCUGGGAUAAUAAUAAUAGAGGCCGUGUAGCUGGUGAAGAAGCCUCUCUCAGUUGGUUGUCUGAUGGGAUUAGCCGGAACGAUGUGUCUGACAUCAAAUCUGAUUUUUUAUCAUCUCAAGGUUCCUCUUUGGACAGCUUUCGGACACAGACGAUGCAGAAGUCUCCGGCCUCAGGUAAAAUAAGUUCAGCUUGUUUAGUAUUUUUUUAGCUUGAGGGAACACAUGUAUGGUGUGUUAUUCACUUGGGACUUUUAGAUAGUAUUUUUCAGAACCUGUUAAAUCAUGUUUCUCUUGAUAGGACUUCUCUACUUGCUUCUUGACUUGCCUAGGCAUCUGUCUACAGAUCAUAAUAAUCUUACAUGACAUUAAUGAAUAUUUUGGCAGAUUUAUCUUUUUCAAGAAAUUCUUCCAUGGAUACAGUCUUUGAGCAGGUAAAACUUGUUUCACCUAUAGUUGAGUUUUCUCACAUCUUUGAAACUUCUACAUUUGUUGAUACAUAACCUCUCUUUUGCGUUUCUAUCUCUCACACAGAAAGAAAAUGAUUCAAUAGAAUCUGCAGCACCUUCAUACCCAUCUCCUGCACAAUUGUCUCUUUCACUUGCUUCACAACCAUCUUCUUUCCCAACGUCACCACUUCCCUCCCAGAUCUACUAUCACCCUGCAAGUUCAUCGACACUUAAUCCAACACAGCAAGUCUCCGAUGGUAAGAUCUGUGGAAUGAACUCACUUAGCAGAAGCUCAGCAACUGAAGAAGAAGAAAAGGGAACUCCUUUUAGAGUAAUUCAUAUACUACCACAGUAAAUGAAAAAUAAUGUGAUCCAACCAAAGAACGUCAUUUUGUUACAGCUCCCACUUGCAUCAACAUAACUCAAAAGCAGAGUCUUGAAGAUUUACCAAACUCCUUCAUAUCUUCAAUGGUGCUUUCUCUGGUAAGCAAAGAAAUUCAGCGACUGCAACAACAACAUAACUGAGUAACGAUCCAUUCAAGCGGGGUAUACAAAAGCAUUCUCUCAAUCAAAUUAAUGAUAUGAGAUAUUUUCAUUCAUUGUACUUACACCGAGCUUUUAAACAGACGUUUGUAUCACUGUUCUUUUCCUCAAAUUCUGUGGUAUCAGUUUUGAUGAAGGAUGUUUGUAGUUCUCGCCACCUGAAAUAUAUAUAUGAACAUUAGUGUAUAAUCAACAAAAUUCUUGUUAACAAUAAGUUGCAGAGAUCACUCCACUGUCAUCCUUAGUUCGAGCUUAGCCUAGAGAUUCCUCCUUUAAAUCACAGUUUGCUUCGAAGUCUUCAAACAAAUGCAACCUCCUUGUGCUUCCAAUGCUGAUGCAAAAUUUUCAUUACACCAUCAAAGACUCCUCUUCUACCUAAAUAAUGAAACAGAUACAUAUUGAAUAUUGUGUAAACCAAUCUGGUAACCUUUCGAAAAGGAAUAAGAAGAAGCGAAGAACAGAUUUGAGCAACAUGUCGACUUCACAGAUAUGGGGGAUCCAUGUGGUCCAGGUUCUGUACUGUUAUCCUCCUACUUGGGUCCCUUAGUUCGUGAACAUGUUCCGGUGAUCAUUGAUAACUGGAGACAAGUCAGUGAAGAAAUCAAGACUGUGCUCUGGAAAUCUAUUGAGGUAAUAAGAAAAAAAUUUACAUUUAACUACGAUCCAUUUUACUUGUAUUUGAAUGUGUCUCAUUGCUGACUACAGAUGAGGUUUGACAUGGACGAAGACUUUAAAAAGGCUGCUGUGUUUAAGCAGAUGGGAUGUUUGUGGAGAGCAUCCAAAUCACGUCUGGUAACAUCUGUUAGAAAAGCUCCAACCAUUAAAGGUAGGAUGAGCUUGCAACCGAACAAUGUUUCUACAGCUGAAUGGCGUAAAUUUGUCAAAGAGAAGACCAGUCAGGCCUUUAAGGUUGUCAGCGACUCUUACAAAGAAAGAAGACAGAAUCAGAUUCCUCACACCUGCGGCCGUAAGGGAAUGGUGAGGCUGAGAGAAGAUUUGGUAAAGUCAAGUGAAGAUCCAUCAAAAGUGUCGAGGCUCCGAGUUUGGGUGAAAUCACGAACAAAGAAGGAUGGUACUCCUGUCAAUGUUAAUGCAGCUGAAAAGAUUGUAAGUUUUCAUAUUGAUUUUAAGAAGUUGGAUCUGCUGGUUGCUGCUUUGUGAUUAUUGAAAUUUUAAUGUGUUUCCAGAGAAAGGCAUCAGAGAUCGAACUUGAGGGUCAUGCCGAUUCAACGACAACAAAUCCAAAGAACGAUAUGCUAUCUCAGAUACUGGGACCUGAUCAACCUGGACGGUUGCGAGCGAUGGGCAGAGGCAUUAGCAUGACCAAAUUGAAUUGUUUACAGGUUAAGGACAACUAUAUCGCUGCAAUGGAACAAAAACAGGUCUCUCUGCAGGAACAGGUUAAUGAUUUACAGAAGGCCCUUCGCCGAAUGAAUAAUCAGGGUCCUGCAACUGAUGUCAGUGAAAACUCCUAUAACAAGGUAUGAAUUUAAUUAAUCUGGCUUACUCUGUCUAUAAAAUUGUAUAGUUGCAUUUCAUUGACAUUGCUUGUACUUCAUGUAGAGUGUAAAUAAUACCAGAUCACUUCCCAAGUGUUAUCUGGUUGACUGGGCUUCUGUCGAUGAGAAAGUUGCUGAGGGACGGGUCGUUUCAGCUGAAGCUGAUGAGUUAGUUAAUGGGGUUCCUUUAGGGCCUCACGCUGUGAAGGUUUUGGUUGAAACUGCAAUAAAAGCAGACACUUUUUUAUGGCGACCUGCACAUAAUAUGUUUACUAUGGAGGAUGCAGUUGGCGAAAUGAUUGCAUGGCAUUCUGAUCACUGUAUUGUUGCAACAGCAGGUCUCAUUCCAGAAGACAAUGCUCCUACAGUUAAGUUUCUUCUCUCUCUGUUCCUAAGUAUGAUUUUCCUCUAUACCUGAGUAUGAUUCUGAGUCAUUUUUGUUCGAUGUCUUUGUUGUGUUUGGCAGAGCCCUUUCACAAGUUCAGUUAACAAAUGCAAGCUCAUGGACUAUAUACAGAAGGAGGAAGUGGUUGCUUUAGGCCGAUGGCAGACUAAAGAACCAAAAUCAUUGGUGAAUGGACUUCCUCUUGGUCCUAAUGCAGUAAAAGUGUUUGUCGAUGAGGUACUAAACCCAACGGCAUUCAUAUGGAGGCCUACUGUAGGAAAGACAAAUAUGGAGGAUUUUCUGAACUGUUAUGUAGCAUGGCCUGCAAAUUGCGUUGUGUUUGAGCCGGAUAUAACAGAUUCUCCACGUCGUCAACAAUCAGAUUCUAAAGCAGUGAGUUCAUCUUCUAAGAAUCAGAAGUCUCCAUUAACUCCACCAGCUCCUAAGAAACCAUUUACUCCUGCAUCUCCUCUUCGCAGAUCUGAGGUACAACUAUAUUGUUGAAUUGUUUGAUUCAUUUUUGCUUUCUGUGAUGCUUGAAUUUUGGCUUCGUUUUUGCUUUCUGUGAUUGCAGCGUAACAAAUUCAAGCCAAAUCAAAAAAUCCAGCUGCUGGAUCUGUCUGGAAACAAGGUGAUCGUCGCUGAAGGACGUUGGUCUUCGAGUAAUCCUGAGCAUCUUGUCCACUUUCAGCCUUUGGGGCUUGGUGCUUGUAGAGUCUUUGUGGAUGUUGUGAAGGUGAAAGAUGCAUCUGUGUGGAGGACUUCAUCUGAGAUUGAGUAUAUGGAAGAUGCACUUGGAAGCACUCUUGCUUGGCCAGAGGAUAAAAUUAUAACGGUGAGAGUUUUGUUUAUUUUUUUGUUCUUUCUCACUUGGAAGCACUCUUGCAUAAAUGUGAACCGAAGGUUAUGUCUUACUUUUCAGGUUUGACAAAAGAGCAGAAGGAACCAUGCAACUAUUUAAGUUCUUGUUGACAUAAAUGACUUGGUGUUUGCUGUUUCAGAACAUGGCUUUUGUUUUUCAAUUACUCGGUGUUUCUCUUUUUUUCAUGUGUCGGAUGGAUUGAAAUGUUUGUAUGGUUUGAAUGAUUUACUUAAGUUAAGACUUUAUGUUAUUGUGUUUGAUCCAUUUUAUCAUUUCAGUUUUACAAAGGCCCAAUAAGAUAAAUGUCCAUAUCUAGUUUACAAAGAACAAAUCACUAUUCUCGGUUUAGGGCAAGGAUAGGGGUUAGGAUUCUCAUGUUUUUGUUAGUGAUUAGGUUUAGAGAUUUCUUUUAAGGUUUAUUCUAAUCAUAGUUUUGAGGUCGUUUUAAAGAAACUAUAACACACAUUAAGACAAAAUUAUAUGUUAAUCACAAAAUACAUGAUGUAGUUCCCUUUCCACAUUAUCUUUCUUGUGAAAGGGUUAGCAUAUGUAGUGUUUAGUUUGAGGGUUAGGGUAUAUUGGUGUAGUUAAAGUGUUUAGUGGUUUAUAUAUUUAGAAAUUGAUGUCUAAAGUUAGAUUUAUAUUUUAGAAUCAUGAUUAUAUUUUUUACAAAUUUUAGAUAAUUUUAAAAAUAUUUAUAAAUAACCAGAAACAUAAUUUCUCUUCUUUUUUUAAUAGCCAUCGAUUGAUAUCUCAGAUCAAAGGCCCAUAAUCCACCAUCCAUCAGCUAUCCUCGUUCUCUCUUCCUAUUGGUUGAUUAUUUUAAGGCAAGGAUCAUAAUCUUGUCCGUUCGUAAAUGUUAAUCUAACGGUUCAGAAUUGUUUUUUCUUUUAUCUCCUUCCUUCUCUCUCAGAACGUACGCCCACCGCAAACUAGGUUAGAGAGUUAUCUCAAACCACCACAAAUCUCUUUGUGACACCACGAGCCCACCUCGACCCACCACUAAUCACUGUCUACCCAUCACGAUUCCAUCUCAAACAACCAUGAUUCUCUCUUAAGCGACCUCGAUUUCUCUCUCUGGGUUUCCAUCGAACUCAUCCAUAUCAAAAGGUCUGCGCCCUCUAAAGUCUAAACCCUAGAUUUAUUUCAUCUGUAUGAUUAUUAUAUAUUUCUCUAAUUAAAAAGGUAACAACUCUUACAGAUCCUUAUAGAUUCGAACCCUCACAGAUCUGGGUUGGGAACUUCUUCAAAGGUCAGAGAUACUCGAUUUCCAUUUAUUCUUCUUCAAAUAUCAUCUUCGAUUUAUUAUUUCUUCUUCGAAUAAGUUUUCAUUUUCAGUUUAGAUAUUCAUAUUCAAAUAUCUAUUAAAGUUCUAACUUGUGUUAACUUUACAGUCUAGAAACUCUAAUGGAAGGAAGGAAGAGCAUCGUAUGUGCACUGCCGGCAUCUGGAGUGAGACCACAACUACUCCAAAAACAAAAACCACAACAAGAAGCACUCAACAGAGAACAAGAACGAGGACAGUCCUCGGGAGGAAAUGAUGUGGAGGAGAUAACCAGAACAGAGUUCAGAACCUCUCUUGGCUACUUGACACGCAUUGAGGAACCUGAAGAAGACAUCGACCCAAUGUUCAGAAACUCAUCUCUUUUCAGACGCCCACCACAAGCACAAGGACAGUCCUCGCGAACCAAGUCUGGCCGUCAUUACUAAUUGUUGUUUAUGUAUGUUGUUUAUGUCUGUUGUUUAUGUAUGUGUUUUUUUGCUAUAUGAUGAAUCAAUUGUCAGCACAUUAUAGUGCUUUUUGCAUAUUUCUAGUCUGGUUACAAUUACUAAAAAUUCUAUUUUUUAAUUUUCUUUUUUUUUACAAUAUUUUCCAAUUCUAUAUCCCAUAAAAAAAACAAAAUUAGUAAAUCAAACCGAAAAAUGUGUCAAUAUAGAAAAUAUUAGCUAUUCAGUAUUACCUAGAAUAUAAACGUUAUAGCACAAGUAAAAUACUGUAUUAUAAUAUUCAAUGGCACAAAAGAAUUGCUAUUAAAUGUUCAAAAAUCCAAAAAAAAACUGAGUUACAAAAAGGUAUUCCAUGACAAAAAACAAAUGUCAUAACAAAAUAUUUUAUGGCACACGAAAAGUGCCACAUAAAAUAUUUAAAUAGCGAAAAUAAAUCGCUAUAAAUAGGUAUAAUAUAACACAGGACCAACGCUAAAAUAUCUGUAUAUUGUUACAGCACGCGAAAAACGCUACGCUAGGGGGGAGGUCUAUUAUAGCUGCGGCUGUCACGGCGUUCUUCGAAACGCUAUGAAAACGAUAUGAUAGCGUUUGUCGAGUGCUAUUAAUACCGAUAUUUCUUGUAGUGUGUGCUCAUAAUUGGCUCGACAGCUUUGAACAAUAUGACAAUGGUAAGUUAGUUUAGUAAUUAUAUUGUACAGAAACAGAGACUUCAUUCAUGAAAUAUUUUGCUGGUUUUGGACAAAAUCAGAGGUUGCUGAAUCUAGUAAUUAAGAGGAGAUUUUCCCUAUGUUUGUGACGUUUCAAUAGACGUGUAAGUGAUAGAUUAUUAUUUAUUUUCCUUCAUUUCAUUUAUUUUCUGAUCGUAUACUUAUCUAUUUUACCAUUUAGACAACUGAUCAACUUGAGGUCGUGGGAAGAACAAGAAGGAAGAUCUCUAUGUAAUUUGUUUUUAAGUUUGAUUUCAGUGUUGGAGGAGAACUUAUGUUUUUGUGUUGUUUGUUGUUCUUUAGAUCUUAAACUUAUGGUGUGGUGUUUGUUGAAACUUAAACUUAAGAUUUCUGUACCUUUUAUGUGUUUGUCAUUUUUUGCGAUUUGGCCAAUAAAGUUGUUCUUUUUUAAUUCAGGUGGGUUACCCGCUUGAUCCGGUUGAUUAGCGUGGGGCGGGUGCGGACAUCUUGUAUAACUCGUAGCGGGUCAGGCAGAGGCAACCCUAGCGCCGCACCAUUUAAGCUCGGUUGAAGGCUCCACUAUGUUGAAGGAGAAAUUCGACCAGCGAGUAGACGAUCACUACAUUCAAUUUCAAUAAGAAAAGAUGAUAUGGUUUUGAAAAAAUGUAACAUGGCAUUAACAUAAUUGUGACAUGCACAAUUUCAUUUAUAAAUUUUAUAUAUUUUUGGUAAUGUUUUUGAAAUACGGUAAUGACUAUUAACUCGUAUAUCAUGAUUAAUGUAUAUUUUCUAUAUAAAUAUUUAUUUAUGUCAAGAUUAUUAAAAAAUAUUAAUAGGAAAUAAUCAUAUAUCACAAUUAAAUUAGUAUAUAUAUAUAUAUAUAUCAAAUUAAUAAAAAUAAGUUAAAUAUAAUUACAAAUAUAAUUUUUAAUAGAUUAUGCUAAAAACAAUAAAAAUCAGAAAGUUAUUAGAAUUUAUAUAUAUAUAUGUAUAUAUAUAUAUAUGUAUGUGUGUGUAGGCGUGCGUGUGCGCGCGUGUGCGCGCGUGUGCGCGCGCGGAUGUGUGUAUUUAAAAGUAGGUAAUAAGAGAUAUAUUUAAAAAAUAGUCACUAAAUAUAAUAUAACUAAAUCCAAACUUUCUCUUCGAGUGUGUGCGCGCGGAUGUGUGUAUUAAAGUUUAAAUGAAAUUAAAUUAAAAUAGUUAAACCAAAUCAAAAGAGAUCAUAUUACAAAAAAGUAUUUUAAUGAUUUGUUUUUUUUCAAAACGUUGAAGUUAAAAUAAUAAAAUAAAGAUGUCAAAAUGUAAACUAAAAAAUUUCUUUUAAAAUAAAAAAAAGUCGUAUUUAAAAUUAUUGUUUAUGCGCGUGUCGGAGAAAAACACGUAGUUCUAUUAUACAUAAGUGGUAAAUUUUAAAGGUAUUUUUUAUUUGUACUUUUAUUUUAUUAAGAUAUAUAUACUUUUGUUUAUUUGUGAGGAUCAUUUCAAUUUGUACGCUUUAUAUAGUUUACAAAAAAAAAAAAAAAAACUUGACGCUUUAUAUAACAUCAAAGCCAAACAAGUGAUUGCGCUAUAAAGGAUGUACACUGUGUGCAUGCACACAGAAAUAGACGCGGAUUUACCGUGUCAUGUACGGGGCAUGUGCCCCUACUAUUUUGUAAAUAUUACUUAGUUAUGGUUCGAAGUUCCCGCUUUGUGUUUUUUCUUUUUUCUUUUGUUGUAUAAUUAAUGUGUUUUCUGUUUGUCAACAUAUCAUCUAUGUUUUAUUGUUUAGCUAUUAUAGGAGCACUAGAGUUUUGACCCACGCGGGUUUAUUUUCUAUAUUUUAGUUUUUUGUUAAGCGUAUUUUCUCAAAUGUAAUAAAUGUAAUUUUAUUGUCUAAUUGAAACAUCUUUAUUGAAGUAUAUUGAACAAUAUAAGAUGUUUUGUGUUUCAUUUCAUUUAUAAUUUGAUCAUAUGUUUUUUGAUCUUCUAAUGCUUUGUUAUCUUGGUUAUUUUUUAAAAAAAUAUUGUUAGUAUUUAUGUGUCUCCUUUAAUGACAUUUAAACUAAAUAUUGUUUUUCGUGUUGGUAUUAACUAAAAUUUUUUGCUUCAAAAUUUUUGAAGAUGAUUUAUAAAUUUAAAUAAAUUUGAUUUAAUAUUUUAAGAAUUUAUAGAUUUAGAAGAGAAAAUUAUAAUGUUUUUAAUUAAACUGAAAGUUGAAUAGAGUUAACUUACAUCUUCGCUGGAAAUUUUUAUUUAUUUAGAAUUAUGUUUUUGAGAAGUAGUAUAAUACAUACAUGCAAAGAGUAAUAAGUUUGUAGGUAUAAUUAGGAGCCUUUUCCAUUUUGUUACCACUUUUUUUUUCCUCUUCAAUAAGAGUUUAGGGGGUUUGCAAAGUUUUUUUUUUUUGAAACAUAAACAGUGUGUAAAUUUUCGUAACACUAAUCAAUGCUUAUAUUUGUUUUAUUUGUUUGGUUAGUAGCAAUCCUCAAUUCACAUUGUUGCAGUUCAAGCAUGAUUAAAAGUGCAAAUGGUUAUUUCUGAACUUAUCAAUAGAAGAGUGGUUUAAAAAUAUAUAAAUUUCGUCUAUUUUUAUAAAUAUGUACAUUUCUUCUAUUUUAUACGUAAUAUUAUUAAAGAAAAAGAUAAACUUUUAUAUUCUAAUAUCUGUAGUAUGCUAUUCGGUUAAAAAUUUGGAAUUUUUAAGUUUGAUAAUACUUUUACUUCAUAUAUUAAUAAAAAAAUAAAAAUAGCUUUAUCUAUGAAGUUUUCUGAACCCAUUACAGUAGAAACUCUAUGAGUUAAUAUUCGAUAAAUUAAUAAACGCAAAAAAAUUAAUAAACUCCACCAAUUCUGAAUUGAGUCAAUAUAAAAUAUGACACAUUUCGAUAAAUUAAUAAAAUAAUAAAUUCUUGAAAUUUUUACUAGUUCUAUUUAGUUUUAUUAUCAGCUAUUUUAUAUGAAUUUAGAAAAUUUCAUUACAAAAAUCUUCUGUUCACUUCUUCCUGCCUUCCCUUAUUCUUCUUCUUUUUCAUUUAGUCAAAUGGUUUUAACAUCCAAGAUUGAGGACUAGAAAAGGAACUGAUACUCUUUCAAGUCAAUUUGGUUUUACCAUGGAUAAGUGGAUUUAUAUAAAACAAGUAGUUUAUCUCAACUUCUUGAACCCUGAUACUGGGUUUUAGUGGCAUGGAAGACCAAACCUUAAACUAAUCAAGUCUGGUCUUUAACGCUGGGCCAUCUAAACUACAAAGCUUUAUGUGUUGGGCUUGGGAUGACCAAAUUUAAUUUACAUGUGAGCCUCAUAUAAGAAAAGAGUUAGAUGUUAACGAAAAAAAUUGAUUGAAAAGAGGAAAAGCUAUGAUAAUUAUGGAUAAAUGAUUAUUAUUGAGUGACCACAAACAAUAAUAAUUUGUUAGUCAGAAAACGAAAAGCUAAUAUUUCCACGUCAGUUAUUGUCUUUUUGUUAUUUUAAAAGAAAAACAAGUAUAUUUAAUUAAAGUUGUAACUUUGUAAAUUUGUGGCCCCUUGGAAGUGAAUGGAAUAAACGACAGACCCCAUGACACCGCCACGUACUUGUUGUCCUUUAUGCAAUUUCCACGAAGUUUCGCCCGUCGAUAAGAAUUGAUGCAAUCCAAUAACUAUACAACGCGUAGCGCUUGAUAAUGAUAAGAUCGCUUACUGAUGACAUUUUGCGUCUACAAGUACUAUAUUCUAUAAUUAAAUAUGCUGAAUUAUUUGGUGUUCAUAUUUACGCUAUUAUAGUAUAAGUUUUAAAUGCCAGUAAUUAUGGUUAACACAUCACCAUCGUACAUAUUCAGACGAUAUAGCUAUAUAAGACAACGGUAUCAACUGUAUUUGCGCAUUGCAUAACUUUACGAGUGUUUUAUAUUUCUCAGAUGCUUAUAUUUUAGUGGUUACGAUUGAAUUUCAACAAUCGAUUUCUGUUAGUUAUUGUAUUAUUUGGUUUUCGGUCCCUAUAAUCCGGAAAGAAUGGAUUUGACAUUGUUUGGAACAGAUCAUACUAUGAAUUAUUGGAUUCUAUAUUACUAUUAAUGAUUAAUUUCCAAGGGAAACGAAGAUGAAUGUGUUAUGUGUCGAUAAGCUAGUAGCAUGUGACAUUUGUUUUUAAUAAUAGUAAGUAGAUGGGUUUUAUAUUCGAAUUAAAUUAUACCAUUGAAUCUAGCAAAGGCUAUUAAAAAAGGAAGGAAACAAGACAGGUUGGUGGUUGGUAUAAAUGUGCAUUGCCAGGUUUUAACACGGUUUUGGUUUGGUUUAAAGGUACCACCUAACCGGAGAGAACGUGAUAUUGCGUUUUUGUGUCUUUUACAAUAUUCAUACGUGUAAAUCUGUCAUCGAAAUAAUACUUUAGACGCAUGCAGCAUAUAUAAUCCAGACGUACUCGCAUUGCAUUGAAUUUUUAGGGUUUAUUUAUUAAUUAACUUCGUUUCUGUAUACUUGUUUUUUGCUGGUGGAGAUGUUCUUCCUCGUUAAAAGAGCUAUUCCAAACAAUUUUAAGAUUAUACGACAAAGAUAUAACAACGUAAACUAUGUUUUCUUUAACUAGAAGGAAACAGAACCUUGGACUUAAAUUUCCCUCUUAACUAGACCAGCAUGCGCUAAUACUAACAUGUAAAACAUUUCAUCUGAUUUUAUACUAUGAGUUCAACAAAACCAGUCUUCAUGCUUAAACUACUAGACUACCAUAUCCACGGACCACGGUGGUAUUAUAAUUUAUAUCUUGUAAAUGAAUUGAAUUAUAGUCUAGUCUAAUUGAUAAUUUAAAAUGUGUUUGUUGCAUAUUCAUAGCAAAUUUAGAUGAAUGUAAGCUAAACUAGUCCAGCUAUCCGCAGUUGUCGUUAGUGAUAUUGAACUAUUAAGUUUAGGUUUGUUUAGCUUUGAGCUAUAUCUCUCAGUCCCAUUUUUGUUGUUGUCGUUCAAUUAAACUAUAACAAACUAAGCAUCUUCAUAACCGAAUAACAAUUUUUUGUUGGUUGAAUUUAUUAUCAAUAAAAGAGGAACGAUAAUGUACAUUUUAAAAAUAUAAAUCCAACAGAUCAGCAUCUUUACUUUGAGUCAUCCAUCUAUCAUUAAACAGACGAAGCUCAACAUUGUAUAUAAACACCAUAGCACACAUUGAUCUCUGCAAGUCUCCAACAAUCAUCAGAUCACACAGAAGAAAAAGAGAAGAACAAAGAUUUUUUUUUCUUGGGAAUUUCCCAAGUUUUCUUUUUUCUUCUACAAUUUUUUUGUGGGCAUUUCCCAAAAAUAUCAUUUUCCUUUUUGUUUCUAAAUUUGCCUUUAUAUUUUAUAAAAAUGGGAAACUGUUUGAAUGGAGGAAGCAACCUUAAAAGAAUGGUUCAAGAAGAAGAAAAAGAAGUGAAGAAAGAUUACAACAGAAAAGACAGGAAGGUGAAGAUUGUUCUACGGAGAGAUGAGUUAGAGAAACUCAUUCUCUUCCAGUUAAACGCCGGUGGUGACGUCCAAGGCAAAGGAGAAACAACUUUAGCUUCCUUCGGCGACUUUCUCAGGGAACUAGAGGCGGAGAGGUUUGCUGGAGAGGCUGCAGCAAAGGCUGCUGAGGAAGAGGAGGAGUCUCGCCGGAGGUGUCGAAAAUGGAGGCCUUCAUUGGACAGAAUCAUUGAAUGGCCUGAAGAAACACUUGCGUAAUUACUUUUCUUAAUCCUUUUAUUUAGAUCAUUAAGUUUUUUAAUUUGUUUAAGAUGGGAUUAUUUUUGUGGGAGAAUUUGUUUUUGCCUGUUUUUUCCUACCUUUUCCCGAUGGAUUUUUUUUUCACUUGAGAAAUGUUUUGUUCUCAAAGUGAGAUAUAUCUUCGGUGUUUUGAAACUGGCAGACGCUUAUUUUACCACAGAGAAAUCCCAAAGAAAAAGUACGAAACUAUGUAUUUUAUUUUCGUCUUUCAUGUAUAACGUUCAAUGUGUCAAGUGUUAAAACAUAAAUAAACUUGUGUUGCUUUGUUUUUUAUAUAAUGGCAAUCUAUUUUCAUCAAACUUACACCCUUGACCAAUGUAGUCAAGACUUUGUCCCUCAACGUACGUCAUGAAGAUGUAUUGAUAACGUAAUUCGACGUGGUUUAUGCAUCAAAUAAGUCUAUCAACCUAAUUAAUUUGUUAACAUUAAGGUAUGAUUUAGCAUCAAAUACUAAAUAGUGAUGGUAGUUGAUUGUCUUGUUUAUUCAAUGCUACACUUUGGCGUUUCUUCGUGACCUGCCCUACAACGAACACCGCAUAACUGUUAUGAAAGUUGACUAAUACGUACGUCUUUAAAACUAAUAUCAUCAAAAUUCUAUCUACUUCGGCAAAGUGCAAACUGCAAACUGCUAUCAAUGAGGACAGAUCUAUGUGCAAAAAAAAAGAGGACAGAUCUAUGUGCAAAAGUAAAAAUGAGGACAGAUCUAUGUGCCUCGUUGGACAUAUGGAAAACAAAAAGUAGAUGAAGAAUAUAUAUAUUUUUUAGAAUUACUAUAUACUUUUAAAGUGAAUGUUUAUUAAUUAAGUUUCGCAUAUAUUUGAUUAACCUUACAACAUUAUAUUAGAUCCAUUAUAGCUUUUUACUGCGAGAAAUAAUUCAUUCUGGAUCAAUUAUAAAUUACUUAAUAUAUUAAAGUUGAAUUAACAGUCGUUUUUAUACCAAAAUUUUGUCUUAAUUAAGCAUUUUCCAGCGGAUUUUAAUCCAAAAGUACAAUAAAACCAACCUCUACGCCUCAAAUUGUAUUGAUACCCAUCAUCAUGAUAGUAUAAGAUUCAGAUGAUAUGUUUCAGUUUCAUAUUUGAUUAUUUAAAUCUUCCCCAGUUCGUUCCUACUUACACAGCAGUAUUAUACUAUCAUGAUACUAUUAUCUACGUGACAACAAUAAAAGUAAACCCAAAACCUUGUUAUAAUAUAUACUAUGUGACAAGAUAUAUACACACGAUGACUUAAUAGAUAUAUAUUACUCUAAAACUACAAAACUUCGACGAAUAAGUUUGAAAUUAAAAAAAAAAAACUAAAAGUUAUUCGAUAACCAGCACGCAGCCACUUCCUUUUUCUCUCAUCAUUACAACUUGGAAGCCACCACCACAACAUCGAGUUGAAGCUGAUGAUUCGAAAAGUAUGCAAUCUGGUCCACUACAUGCUCCAAAUCCAAAACGUUGUCGUCUUUACAUUUCGCUAGUAGUCUCUGAGCUUCCUGUUUGGUCAUCUUGAUCUUUACCCUCACUACUUCCUCCUUCCCUUCAACCUUAUUCGAACCUUCUUUCUCUUCCAGAGGCUUCUCCUCAGGUUCGAACUCAUACCUCACUGGCUUGUUGGGCUCGAAAAUCUUAUUCUUCUCCAACUGAAACCUCACAACUUUACGUGGCUUCAAAGGCUUUGCCAUCUCUUCAUCUUCAUCUUCGAACCUUAGGGAUCUGUCAAUCCUCUUGGCUCUUUGCAAGCAACGAGACUUUUUGAUGGGUUCUACUGAACACUCUGAUCCAUUCAGAGGCGAUGUUAAGUCGUCUUUGAAGAUUGAUUUUGCUUCUAGAACGCUCUCGUAUCUUUCUUGAAGUCCGUUGAAGCAUUUAGCUAAUGAAUCCAUCAUUUUUUUUUCCUAUGUUGAUACAAAAGGAGGGAAAGCUUUUGAGUUAUCUUCUUGUUUUUUUUUGCAGAGUUGCAAGUAUAUUUUUCUACAUCUUACCAAAUGAGAGAUGAGAAUAUAUAUAGGCGACCAAGACUGUGAUUUGACUGAUAGGACACGUAAUGGCGUGUGCUUUGGUGUAAAAGGAAGAUGUAACUUUGCCGUGGGGGUACUAGAAUUUAUUCAGAUUUGUUUUGUUUUAUUACUGUGAGAAAAAAUGUAAGAAGCCUCUCUUACUUAUUAAUACAAAACAAUUUAUAACUUCAUUAGUUCAGUACUUCAGUUGACUGUCGAUAUUGUCACGAGAAGAUUAAGUUUACUUGAAUUUGAGGGGUAAACUAAGUGGUUAUGAAUUUAUUUAUAACGAUCAUAUAAAUAUACAUGCCUGUCUGAUCAUGAGUUUGGAAGCAGUUAAAUGAGUCAUGGCCUAAUGAAAUUAUGAUAAACGAAGCAAACGUAAUAUCAUUAACUAGUCAAAAGCUUUAUCAUGAGUCAUGACGUUAAAGGUUCCCCUCUUAUGCGUCUGAAAAGGAUAUUAAGUAAAUAAUGUCACAUUUCUCUUGUUAUCAAUCAAUCACUAUCUAUGAGAAAUAUCAUCAAAUACCAUUCGUUCUAAUACAUUUUAAAAUACAAAAUUUCCACAAACAAAAAUAAUGCCGUGCCACUAGGGGAGUUCUAUAUGAAAUGGUCAAUUUCUCCAUUUUGAAUUAGUUUAACUAUAGUAGAAAGAAAAAAAUACUCAGUAAUACUAAUCUAAUAUAGUAAUAUUUCAGUAACAUCCACACACAGCUAACAAAACCUACCAAAUAUGAACACAUUUGUUUGUCACAGAUUCUUUAUGUAAACUAUCGACUACUGAAUAGUAGCUGACUACGAUGUCCUGAUAAAUAUAAUCGCGUAUGAAAUUAUAUGGUAUAGUUAAUAGACCGACAUCUAAAAGUAUUAAUAACAAAACAUAUUAGAAAAUUCGUGUAUAUUUUAUAACAUUCAUUACUACAAUAGGGAAUUUUAUACGUAGAAUUGUAUAUAUUAGAGUAGAAGGAAAAGAAACACAUAGGUGGUUUAAUUUUAGAUAACGCGUUUUAAAGCUUUACCAAUUUUUGGUGUUUGACGACCAACCACUUCAAAAGCUUAGAGGUUGACCAAGUCAUGGUUUUAAAGUUUCCCAUCAAACACUCAUAUGCUCAUGUCUCACUAUCUUGGGGAAAGCAUCAUACCAUCAUACUAUAUACCCAAGAACACAAAUCUGAUAAUAUUAUUCCAAGUUACCAAAAAUGUUAGUGGUCUAGUGAUGCAGUGUUCGAUAAUUUUUCUUUUUGUAUUCCGAAUCAAAACUUCCAAAAACAAAUUCCAAAUUAAAGGAGGUCAUGGACCUCAUAAAAACUAAUAAUAUUAUGUAUAAUUUUUUUUAUUAAUCUGUGGGUAUCUAAAACCUAUAGAAAAGUCGAAACUAAUUUUUAAAUAGAGAUACAAUACUCAGAUAUAUUUUUAAUGUGAAUAUUUAAAUGGACUGUAACAAUGGACUUGUAUAUCUAUCGUAUAGAUACGUGGCUAUACGAUAGAGUAUAGUGAGAGCAUUUCGAAUCCAGAAUCACAUGCCACUCACCAUGGUUAAUAUUAUUAGAAAUUCACAAACACAAAACUUAAUCUAUGGAAACUAUGGCAAGAAUAUGUUUGAUAACUUUGCCCAAUAAAAAAGAAUAUGUUUGAUAGCUUACAAAAUGGUGAAUUGGCAGAAUGAUCACCCGAUUGGUCAUGUUCUUACCAAUCACACAUUCACUCUGGGCAUGUUCUUACCAAUAUCACCUUCUAUAUAUGUAUUGCAAUUUAAAUUCAGUGAUUUUAAAAUUCACAAAACCUCAAUUUACUCCAAAGAAAGGAACAUAUUCGAAUUCCGGUGACUGAGAUAAACCAAUGCAGUGUCACUUAAUUAGACCACUGGCCUACACUACACAAGAGUCGAGAGGAGUAGGAACCUUAGACAAAACAUUGGGCGAACCGGGAUCGAUUUCCCUUUGGUACUGCAAUACAAAAACCGGAGAAUACCGGAAAAUAGAAAACAUCGAAAGGGCUAAUUAAAUGGGCUGUAUAACUUAAAUGGGCUUAACUACAUCAUAAUGGCCCACGCUUGUAGAAAACUGAAAACUAAAGCCGAAGAAGGUUCGAAGAAGAGACAGAAAAUUUCCAAAGUCGCCGUCAACAUUCUCCAUUGGGCAACACACGAACGAACGAACGAGAAGGGAGAGAAGAGAUGAACGUCGUACAUGGAUUGAAGAGGAUUCCUCGCAUUAAGUUCCCUCAGCGUCACCUCAAACCUUCAGGUUUUGAUCUCUCUCCUAUGCAGAGCUGAAUCUCUCUAUCUCCUUCUUCGUUUUAACAACAAGUUUCAUGAUUUGUAUUCUAAUAUUCCCCGAUCUGGUGAAAACACCCCAAUGAUCCAUCGAUUUGCAUGUGUUUUAUAUAUAUAUAUAUAUAUAUAUAUUCACGGUCUCUAGAUUCUUAAGACUGUUAGGAUAUGAAACGUAUCGAGAACAUGUUGGUUUAUGAUUUUGUGUAAGAAAACGGAUUCCUCGUACAUGAUGAUGUGUUUAUGUCUGAAAUCAUCACUUUCUUUGUCCUUUUCUGCUGGAAAAUGAUAUAAGUUGCUUUUCUUUUUCUUUUAUCAGUCAUUUGUAGUUUGUUUAAGCUUGUGACAAUUGGGGGUGUUAAAAGUUUUAACCUUUAUGAUAAAAUUACAGAGGGAGCGAAGCAGGUGGAGAAUGAAGCAGAUACAUUCUUCUUCUCCAACCUCAACACCUCCCCAAAGACGACUAUAGGCGGGAAGGCCUCGUUGCAGCCCAAGCGCACCCCUGUUUCAAACGAGGAGAUGGAAGCCAUUUUGGUACGUUACUUGUUGUUGUUGUAAAUGAAGUCUUUCACAGUGUUUUUUUUUUUAAAGUUUGCUUACACAUGUCUGAGGUUAUUCUCCUAACUACUUACCAACCAACUACUAAGUUUAUCGCUUAAAAAAAUUGAACAUUGAGUUGAUUUUUUUCUAACCUGCUUGUCCUUUUUCUGCUCAAUCUUUCACAGUUGGGAGGCUGCAUCUGAUCAUAGAGAUGGUGUGGACCUCUUCUCUUCUUCGCCAUUCAGAAUAUACUCACGACUCAAGAUUUGGUUGAUGUCUUUGACACAAUAAAACAGACUCAAUUUGCAGUCUUUAAAAACCUUUUUUACUUCUAUUAUAUACACUGAUUGAUUGCAUUUUACUCCCUAUUAAUGAUUUGGAAUUCAUGGAUUUUUAUAUUACAUUGCUGAAUAUUUUUCUAGAACCAGUCAGAAAACCUUGAAGGUACGUUUACAUUAUUACAUAUACAAUUCACAGUGAGAGUAGAGAGUAGAUUCAACUUUAGGGUGCUGCUUCCUUUUGCAUCUGUUCAAUAAGAGGCUCAAGAACACAAGACUUUGGAUUCUUACCCGGUGGUCCUUUCUCUCUUCUUUCAAGCUCCUCAAGCCUGAACGUUAUCAGACGGUCCCAGUUCCCUCCUUCGAACAAUACGCCAGCUUUCCCGUCCGUGAUCCUCUGCACUAUCCCACAGUACAUGUGGUAAGGACUGUUUGAGUUCUUGACUAUAGCUAUCAUCCCCGGCAUGAGAAGCGGUAGCUCUGGAGCUCUCGGCUUCUUCUCCGUGGCAAAUGUGGACACAACAUCGCCGCUUCCUUGCUUAGGUGGUGGUGGUGGGUUUUGUUCGAUGAACGUUUUGAGUCCCUUCUCGCCGCCGGGGAAGCCUCCGGUGAGACCCAUCAUCUCUUUCUCGAAACCGUCUUCAGGAACUUGAAACGACAAGCUAUUG
rnacentral:lncRNA from 1 species